rnacentral:tRNA from 1 species
GCGGUAAUAGCUCAGUUGGUAGAGCGUCUCCUUGCCAAGGAGAAGGUCGCGAGUUCGAGUCUCGUUUACCGCUCCA